CUCUCUCCUUCUCUCUCCUUCCUCUCUCCCUUCCGUUGGCUUCUCCUCCAUCUUCUUUGUGCGAAAGACCAGAAAAUUUGCAGAGGAAGAAGCCGAAGCAGCCCCUCGCCGUCCGCCUCCUUAGCCGCUCGUCGCCCGUCGCCGGAACCGCCGAAGCCAGCUCGUCGCCGGUUCUCCUUCGCCCGCUCACGCCGCUGCUCUUCCCUCGUUCGCCGUCGUCCUCGCUCGUCUUCACGUUUGGGAGGCUGUCCGACCAACCCAGGUCACGGAUCAGCCACCGUGAGCCGCCGUGCGCCCCCGCCUUAGCCCGCCAGAGCUUCGCUUUGCCUCCGCCGCCCUUGGCCGCCCGAACCGGCGCCGGAUCUGCUCCCUCUCGGCCCCGAUCAGCAACCCAGAAAAUGGGUAUGGCAGCCCAUGUUUGGCCCGUUUUGGCCGCUUCCCGGGCCCGGAUACUCGGCCCGCUUUGAGGAAAGUUGUUCUCCUCGGCGUCCUCGUCGUUUUGGUCCGCUCGGCUCGUCAUUUGAGUGAGUUUAACUCACUAAACCUCGCUUAGAGGGUUAAUUAUGCUUUAGGUGUGCUUAGUUUAUGUUAAGUGUGAUUAGGUGGUUAGUUUAAUUUAUUUAAGUAUUGAUUAUAUUAAUGUGUUUAAUUAGCUUAAAGUGUGAUUAAAUUAAGGUUAAGUGAAUGUUUACAUUAAUAUAAACCUUGAUGUGACAUAAAGGGAUUUACUUUUGAUUUAUUUAAAUAUUUCGAAAUUAUUUAAUAAUUUAAUAAUAUAUCAUUAUUCGAAAUUAUUAAAAUAUUAUUAUUUAAUUAUUUUCGGAAUAAAUUUAAUUAUUUAUUAAAUUCCGGAAAAUUUUGUCGGGACCCUAAAUUCUCAGAAUUUCGUGCCAGUCGCUGCUGUGUAGUCAGAUUUUGAAAUUGAUGAUUGGAGAUUAUAAAUUGAGUGUGGAUUGUGAAAAAUAUGGAUAUUAUUAUUUAAUUAAUUUUCGGAAUAAAUUUAAUUAUUUAAUAAUCCGAAAAAUUAUUUUGGGACCUUAAAUUCUCAGAAUUUCGUGCUGAUCACUGCUGUGCAUUUAGAAUUUGAAUUUGAUGAAUGGAUGUGGCAAUUUGAGUGUUGAUUGUGAUAAAUAUGGUUUUUAUUAAUAAAAACCCAAGUAUCGGGUUUUGAUGCAAAAAUUGGAUUUUAAUUAUUAUAUUAAAUAGUGGGGUUUGAAAAAGUGAGAUAUUGGCUUUUUGAUUCGAAAUUAGCGUGUCCCCACACACGUGAGUAAUUUAUGGAAUAUUUUUAAUAUGAAGAAAAAUGGCCGGGAUCACUAUUUUAAGUGGAAGCGUUGAGUGAAAUGCAAAGUGUCCUGGGGCCGAGUAUGAUUUGACUAUGUGAUAAUUAAGAGGAAUCGUCCUAGGCUGUUGAGCCGGACUUGCCCCUAUAUGGGAUGCCCACGCGGUGGAUGCGGGUCGCAGUAGAUUCUGGGCCCAUGCUCUUUCGGGAAUGCCGUCGACGUACUGACGAAGCCGCGCUCCAUGGGGAGAGGCGAUGCCUGGCUAUAUGCCAGUAGAUAGCCGAACUGCGAGUAGGCUAUGCCCUUGUGUGGCAGUGAAUAAUAAUUGGAAUGCGUGCUAAGUGCGAUUGUGAUUAUAUGAAAGUUAUAGCGUUCCAAUUGUUUGAGUUCCUAUUACUAUCUGUGAUUGGGUGAUUUGAAUUAUGCUAACCUGCAUGAAGGAACUGAGGCGAGGUAAGUUCUCUGUGUGAUGUGGCUAGGCCAUCUGGGGCGUAUUUUCUUUCUAAUAGGGGUUUAGGGGGUUGAACUUGCUGAGACAUCGUCUCAUCCCGGUUGUGGGAUUAAAAUUUCAGGUCCCUAGAUGGUGGUCGUGAAGGAUCCGAAGCCCUAAGUCUGGAAAGGUGGAGAUUGAAGUAUCGGUGAACGUGUCCUGCUAGUUGGUUUUAGGAUGGUUCCCCUUUUGUCGAGCUGGUCUAUUUUGUAGAUAGUUCAGAGUCGUAUUUAAACCUAUGUGUUUGUAAAUGAGUGUUUGGUAUUGUGAUUGAUUGCCUGCUUUACUAUCCC
rnacentral:lncRNA from 1 species